rnacentral:tmRNA from 1 species
AGCCUUUCAUUUCCUACAAUCUUGCUUACGUUAUAGAAGUCAGCUUGCUGACUAUGAGGAUAAACGCGCUCAUAAUAGACGGACUGGACCCGGGGGCGGUACCCGGCGGCUCCACCAAAAACGCUCAGACUAGCUGAGCGCUUUUGAUGGGGCCGAAAUAGGAUCGACAGACGUUCAAAAGGGUUAGCUUUCUUCCGUAUGGGUACCGUUAAAUGCCCGUUCUUUAUAAUUGCAAAUGACAAUUAUUCUGAGGAAUUUGCCCUAGCUGCGUAAGCAGUUCGGACAUUCCGACUUUAACUCCUAGCCCUUCAGACGGCU